UGAGGAAUAUUGGACAAUGGUCGGAAGACUGAUCCAGCCAUGCCGCGUGCAGGAAGACAGCCUUAUGGGUUGUAAACUGCUUUUGCAGGGGAAGAAUAAGGACUACGUGUAGUUUGAUGACGGUACUCUGCGAAUAAGCAUCGGCUAACUCCGUGCCAGCAGCCGCGGUAAUACGGAGGAUGCGAGCGUUAUCCGGAAUCAUUGGGUUUAAAGGGUCCGUAGGCGGGCUAAUAAGUCAGAGGUGAAAGCGCUCAGCUCAACUGAGCAACUGCCUUUGAAACUGUUAGUCUUGAAUGGUUGUGAAGUAGUUGGAAUGUGUAGUGUAGCGGUGAAAUGCUUAGAUAUUACACAGAACACCGAUAGCGAAGGCAUAUUACUAACAAUUAAUUGACGCUGAUGGACGAAAGCGUGGGGAGCGAACA
rnacentral:rRNA from 1 species